UGCAAAUAAAAAGAAAUUUCCCAAUUAUCGCUAUAUAAUCUAACAAAUUGCAAAGUUGGAAAGUGCAUUAAUCAAGUAGUCCUUUGUUUGAUUGAAACUUUGAGAAUACAAAUACUACAUCACAACAUAACCAAAUAAUGUUCCCUUAUUUCUGAAAUAUGAAUCCAAAUAGUAGUUACUACUACACCCAACAUAGAUAUUUAUAAAUACCUAUGUACACAGUCAAUGCCUGUGACUGAAAUUUGAUAAAGAAGCAUAAUUCUAUCAUCUUUGCAUCACUAUGGU
rnacentral:lncRNA from 1 species